AUUGAACGCUGGCGGCAGGCUUAACACAUGCAAGUCGAGCGGGGGAAGGUAGCUUGCUACUGGACCUAGCGGCGGACGGGUGAGUAAUGCUUAGGAAUCUGCCUAUUAGUGGGGGACAACAUCUCGAAAGGGAUGCUAAUACCGCAUACGUCCUACGGGAGAAAGCAGGGGAUCUUCGGACCUUGCGCUAAUAGGUGAGCCUAAGUCGGAUUAGCUAGUUGGUGGGGUAAAGGCCUACCAAGGCGACGAUCUGUAGCGGGUCUGAGAGGAUGAUCCGCCACACUGGGACGGAGACACGGCCCAGACUCCUACGGGAGGCAGCAGUGGGGAAUAUUGGACAAUGGGGGGAACCCUGAUCCAGCCAUGCCGCGUGUGUGAAGAAGGCCUUAUGGUUGUAAAGCACUUUAAGCGAGGAGGAGGCUACUCUAGUUAAUACCUAGGGAUAGUGGACGUUACUCGCAGAAUAAGCACCGGCUAACUCUGUGCCAGCCGCCGCAGUAA
rnacentral:rRNA from 1 species